rnacentral:misc_RNA from 1 species
UUUUUUUUUUUUUUUAAUAAGAAAAGGAGCAUUCUUUAAUAUACAGGUAGCUUCAAUUUACACACAUUGUGAUAGAAAUACACGUCUGCCUCAUGUGCCAUGAAAAGAUCAAGUAUGAUUAAGUACAAUUCAGUUAUGUGAUCAUGUUUCCUUUUGGUUAUUUCCUUUUGGCAUGAAGUUUCUAAUGUAGGAAACAGAUAAUCCUUCUUGCAAAUUGUCAACUGGUAGUUAAAGAAAACAAAAGUGAUUAGAUAAAAAUUUCCUUUCCACUCUAGACUAAACAAAAGCAAAUGAAUAUUGAUUGAGCACCAAUGUAUAAUUUCAUAUGGUUGAGCUUGGCUUCCUUGCAGCUAAAAGUUUGAGUUUAGCUCAAUUAAGAGGCCAGUGCAUGCAAAUCUCUCAAGCAAAACACCAAGACGAGCUCAAGCCAUGUAGCUUGUCUAACAACUUUUAUAUGAUUAAUGGUGA